AGUGAACGCUGGCGGUAGGCCUAGCACAUGCCAGUCGAACGGCAGCACAGUAAGAGCUUGCUCUUACGGGUGGCGAGUGGCGGACGGGUGAGGAAUACAUCGGAAUCUACUUUUUCGUGGGGGAUAACGUAGGGAAACUUACGCUAAUACCGCAUACGACCUACGGGUGAAAGCAGGGGAUCUUCGGACCUUGCGCGAUUGAAUGAGCCGAUGUCGGUUUAGCUAGUUGGCGGGGUAAAGGCCCACCAAGGCGACGAUCCGUAGCUGGUCUGAGAGGAUGAUCAGCCACACUGGAACUGAGACACGGUCCAGACUCCUACGGGAGGCAGCAGUGGGGAAUAUUGGACAAUGGGCGCAAGCCUGAUCCAGCCAUACCGCGUGGGUGAAGAAGGCCUUCGGGUUGUAAAGCCCUUUUGUUGGGAAAGAAAAGCAGCAGGUUAAUACCCCGCUGUUCUGACGGUACCCAAAGAAUAAGCACCGGCUAACUUCGUG
rnacentral:rRNA from 1 species